rnacentral:rRNA from 1 species
ACAAAAACAUCUUUUCUUGUUAGUUUUUGAAGUAUGGCCUGCCCACUGACUUUGAGUUGAAGGGCCGCGGUAUUUUGACCGUGCAAAGGUAGCAUAAUCAUUAGUUCUUUAAUUGUGAUCUGGUAUGAAUGGCUUGACGAGAUAUAAUCUGUCUUAGAGGUAUUAUUUAUUGAAUUUAGAUUUUGAGUUAAAAUUCUUAGAUGUUUUUAUGGGACGAGAAGACCCUAUAGAGUUUAACAUUUGUUUAAUUUGGAUUUAUUAUGGUUUGAUUUUUUAUAAAAGUUGGAUAAAUGUUUUGUUGGGGUGAUGGGAGGAAUUUUUUUAACUCCUCUUUAUUUUUAUAUAUUUAUGUAUAUUGAUUUGAUCCAUUUAUUUUGAUUAUAAGAUUAAAUUACCUUAGGGAUAACAGCGUUAUCUUCCCUGAGAGUUCUUAUUGGCGGGGGGGUUUGCGACCUCGAUGUUGGAUUAAGGUGAAUUUUUGGUGCAGGAGCUGAAGUUGAUUGG